rnacentral:rRNA from 1 species
CGCGUAGGCGGCCUGGUCAGUCGGAUGUGAAAGCCCCGGGCUUAACCUGGGAAUUGCAUUCGAUACUGCCAGGCUGGAGUGUAGUAGAGGGAAGCGGAAUUCCGGGUGUAGCGGUGAAAUGCGUAGAUAUCAGGAGGAACACCAACGGCGAAGGCAGCUCACUGGACAAUUACUGACGCUGAGGGACGAAAGUGUGGGGAGCGAAAG